UGAUAGGCAGAUUCUUUACCACUGGCCACCAGGCAAGCCUGGGAGGGUAUUUUUAAAAAUACUUUAACUUAUGCUUUUACAACAGUAAAGAAAGUAAAAGUCACCUUGGAGUCCGUAUUCCAGAAAUAAACUUUCUAAUUCUGGGGUGUAUUUUACGGAGGUCCUUAUUAUCAUAAAUAUUUUUACAUAGCUGAGAAAUCACUGUAUAGCAUUUUUUCCCUCUUCCUCCCAAUUUGUUGAUUUUCUUAGCCUGCCAUUCCCUAUGAAAGGUGCAACAGAUGGUAAAGGAAUUUUCCUCCACCGGAGGUUUUGGAACUCGUUCAGAACGAUUCUGUGGCCGUUGUUUUGGCUGAAAUAUGUGCUUUUUUUUUUUUUUAAAUGAAACCUGCUACUUAGAAUCAGGAGUCAUGGAACUGAACGUAGUCCAGGAAAUGCAGACUGACUCUUGCUACCACAAAACCCCUUUUCCACAAAGGAACACCAUUGGAGGAGAACCCUGAAGUCCACGGUGAUUAUGCCUCAGUGCCUCCCCUCUCCUUUUUGCUCAUUUGCAUAUUUCAAGUUUGUUUUUUUUACAAUGAACAUGUACUGCUUGUAUAACAAAAACAUUGAAAAAAUUCAGUAAGAUAAAGGAAAAAAAGACGCAUAAAGGCAUUUUAUGUGUAGCACAACCUAAAGUGCCAGAGAAUGGCAAUAGACAUUCCACCAAGAAGAGGUCUAGUGAUGAAGUAAGUUGGAAAACGUCGAGUUAAACAAAGCUAAUUGGAUUUCUUGCCUGUAAUACUUCUCAGAGUCUUUAAGACGCUGGUGGGUAGUUUGAUCCUGAAGAGAGGGCUGUUCCCAGCAGUGUAACCAACAGUGUUGGAUCUCUGAACUCCUCUCGUGAGGAGUAUCCCUGCCCACUGACUGUCUGUGGGACUCAUUCUGGAAAACGCGUUUCCAAAGCACUGGCUGCCUGCAGCAUGGGGAGACGCCCCAUUCCCUCUAGGCCACGUUCUCGCGAGAUCUGCAGAGCUGACUGGGAGGAAAUUUGCGGCUGUGACGGCUCUCAGACCAGGUGCUCUGCUGCAAUCUCACCGGCUGGUUAAGAAGGGUGGCCAGCUCCAUUAUGGAUUUUAUUAUCAGUCAAGAGAUCUGGAAAGGAGAAAGACAUCCAGAGGCAUCUGGUUGGUAGGAUCACCGAGCCGUUCAGCAGAGACUGUAGGCUGUGAAUAAGCAAAAGACAAAUGCCCUUGAAUUCCAAGGGCAUAAAAUAUCCCUGCAAAUGGGGCAGUCCAAAGGACAAUCAAAGGAGCAGAGGGGAGCGGGCGCAGCAGUCAGGUCGGAGGCUGCCCGUAUACACUGGGGCCUCACCAUAGCUGCGGCUGCCCUCCAGCUGCCAGGAACUGCGUCUCUCCCUGGAGAGGCCAGAAGUACCUAAGAAUUGAUGGACAGCAGCCCGCAGCCCAUGAGGAGCUCGCCUGCGUCUCCAGGGGGAUGACUAAGGUGCCCAGUCUACGUUGGCUCCCAGAAGCCCCCAUUGGGCUGACUCUCCAGUUGCUCACAGUGGCCUCUGGUUUGGUAACAAACGCUGUAUUAGCUGCCUUCCCUCCCCUGCCUCACUCUACCUAGGAAACAACGUUAAGUCCUGCAGAAAUUUCUUUGCUGGUUAAGAUGACUAGUGCGAAGUCCUACUCUUCUGAAUUUCCAUUUAUUCUCCAAGCCAAGACUUGCUGCACUACAGUGAGUGAAGAACAGUUCCAUCUCAUUUCUGACAGAGGGCAGCAUUUCGUUUUCUACCGCAGGGAGGUGUAUUCCUGGAGCUUGCAAAUGACGCCAGCUCAAAAUAAAGAAAAACAAAUUGAAAUGAGAAUUUUAAUCACUGUGAAGGGAAUGAAAGGCUGUGUCAGCGUUUCCAUGCUCGCAGCUUGAGCUCCAGGGAUGCGAGGGGAAUGAAGAUCACAAAUGUCAGCCAAAGAGGAGGCACUCUGGGUGAAACAAGAUGCAGUCUGAACCUUGGUCACAUCACAUCCAAGUCACCUCUGCUUGGCUUCAAACAUUAUCAGCAGAUAUUUCACUUGUAAUCAGAAAGAGAUCAAGCUAUUUCUCCAAAAGAAGUACCUGCGGUGAGGAUUCGGAUCUAAGAAGAGUGAGCCCCCAGGAGGGUGGGCAGGCUGCAUGAGGAGCCCCGGAAACCCUGGACGUGACAGCAGGAGCUUACACUUGACCGCGCUCAGAGGAGGAAUUGUCUCAUAGAGAUUUCAGUCUGGAACUAGAGGCAAGGACUUGGGACCCAUCCUGACAAUGAAAGCAACCCCACAGAUGCACUGGGAUUUUCACUGGAGCGUCUGUAGGGGCUUUAUAAACAGCAGUGAACCUUCACGGACCCCUUCACAGGGAGCCAGGUAGGAAGGAGGCUUCUCUCUUUGGAGAUGGAGGUACCAAGCUGGGAGGUGAUUUAUCUGAGAGCGUGAAAUGCCAGUGACCAACAAGGGAAUGCAUUUUCAAGCAUCCAGUUGAACCCACAGUUCUUUGAUGCUGACAGACUACUUAUUUGUGUGUGUGUUUUUUUUUAACAGACUACUUAUUUGAAACAAUGGUGACUAACAGCAUUUAUCAAGCACCUUUUAUAGGCUGGACUCUGGUGAAGAUGUUUUUUGCAAUUCAUCCUCACAGUGUUCUUAAAUGCCAGUCCCAUGAUCAUGCCCAUUUUACAGAAGAGGAAACUGAGGUUCAGAGAAGUUCCCUGUCUCACUCAGGUUACACAUCUGGCAAGUGAAGGAGCUGUGAUUGUAACCUAGCUCUCUCUCUGCUAAAGGUGGUGCCUUUCUCUCUGUUUUACUUCUCAGUCUAGCAAGCAGUUUUAACUACAUAUCAACAACCUCAAAAAAUGUUCCUACUCUUUGAUCCAGCUAACCCACUUCUGACAACCAUUCUCAUGAAAUAAUUCUGAGUGCAAAAUAAGUGUCUUAAGGUUCAAUGUGGCUAAGUACACACUGGUGUGUACCCCAGUUCUUCCCUAAAUCCCACUGAAAUGGCGGAAGAGAUUCAGAAAUAAAGAUUGCUUGAGGUUGUGGGCAGUCAGGAGGAGGGGGAAUCAAUGUUCAGAAGAUUAAGGAAUUUCCAGGGAACAUAAGAGAAAUAUAAGAACAGAUUGGUGAAGAAAUGAAAACAAAGCUGUAAUGGUUAAAUGAAUAAUUGUUUGCAGAGUGAAUGCUCCUAGCAGAAUUCUAGAACAGAGGCAACAUGAGCAUGAAAGCAUGAGCUAGAGGUGGACUGGAGAGCGGCGAGUGGUUCCUUUCCACUGUCCACUUUCUGCUCCCUGCACACAGUCACCCGAGGACGGCCCCUGUAUCAGCCACUGCUUCUCUACCAGAGGAAUGGGAUUCUCACAGGGCUAAGCACGUGCUCCUCCAGCCACCAACAGCAUUCAGCCCAGAAGCCCAUCUGCUUUAUUAACAGCUAUGUAAGAAUUGCCAGAUUUUUCAGAAAAGCCAGAGCUUGAGAUUGCUGCAUAGAGGUGUGGAGGUCCUCCUGGAGAAAGAAGCCAGGGCAAAAAGCAGUGGCAUCUGUUUCUUUUUCUUUAACAUGUUUGUGCAGAAUCCUUUAGCUUGGUCUUCUAGCUUACUAAUUUAGUUCUUAGUUAUCUAUUUAGCAUAUUUUUUGAGUUUUUAAAACUUUGUCAGUCAUUGUUUUAAUUCUCAAGAACUCUUAUUGGAUCUUUUGCAGAGAGGUUUUAUUUUUUUUAUUGGAAUGUAGCUGCUUUACAGCGUUAUGUUAGUUUCUGCUGUACAAUGAAGUAAAUCAGCUACACAUAUGCCUGUGUGUUUAGUCCCUCAGUCGU